rnacentral:rRNA from 1 species
AGCUCCAAUAGCGUAUAUUAAAGUUGUUGUGUUAAAAAGCUCGUAGUUGGAUCUCGGCGGUCUGGGAGCGGUUCGCUCGCUAGAGUGCUACUGCUCCAUAGUCCGUAGUUUUGCCAGAGGUCUCGGGGUGCUCUUAACCGAGUGUCCCGCGAUGCUGGCAGGUUUACUUUGAAAAAAUUAGAGUGCUCAAAGCAGGCUUUUACGCCUGAAUAUUCGUGCAUGGAAUAAUAGAAUAGGAAGUCGUUUCUAUUUUGUUGGUUUUCGGAAAUCGACUUAAUGAUUAAUAGGGACAGUUGGGGGGAUUCGUAUUAUGGCGUCAGAGGUGGAAGUCUUGGAUUGCCAUACGACGAACCACUGCGAAAGCAUUUCUCAAGGAUGUUU